rnacentral:lncRNA from 1 species
CGACUCGGCGUCAAGCGGCAGCGCUGGCGGCGGUGGCAGCGAUGAGGUCGAACGGCGGCGACGAGGACGACCCAACGUCGAGUGGAAGCGGCGGCAAAGAGCCAAAGACGUAGGUCGAGUGGCAGCGACGCGGGAUACAUGCGUUCGUGCAGCGGUGCGCUGGGUGGGUGCAGCACCUUGCACGCUCGCAGCAACGCUCAGAUGGAGCGUU